UUGUCCUUAGUUACCAGCACGUUAUGGGUGGGCACUCUAAGGAGACUGCCGGUGACAAACCGGAGGAAGGUGGGAUGACGUCAAGUCAUCAUGGCCCUUACGGCCUGGGCUACACACGUGCUACAAUGGUCGGUACAAAGGGUUGCCAAGCCGCGAGGUGGAGCUAAUCCCAUAAAACCGAUCGUAGUCCGGAUCGCAGUCUGCAACUCGACUGCGUGAAGUCGGAAUCGCUAGUAAUCGUGAAUCAGAAUGUCACGGUGAAUACGUUCCCGGGCCUU
rnacentral:rRNA from 1 species